rnacentral:lncRNA from 10 species
ACUAUGACUGCUGUUGGUGUGAGGAGAUACUUUGAUUGGGUUGGAAAAGGCUCUGCCUUGCACAGCUGUGUCUCUGAGCACAUUGCUGUCUCUGAAGUUGGUCAGGGCAAGCCACUGGGAUUUGGGGAGCAGAAGUGGACCUGUCAAUGAAAGCAGCAUUCCAGACAAAGCAAGAAUGGCACCACCGUUUAUUGCUGCCAGUCUAUCUGAAAUUCCGUGAGUCUUUCUGGGUUUUUGGAGAUAAGUGCACCAGAGUUAAAUUAAAUCAUUUAAUUUCCAGGAGUGAUAGGCAUAGGGACACAUUACUCAAAUGGAUCUGGAAUCCCAUUUUUUUCCAAGAAAUCUUUCUUGAUUCAUUGGAUGAGUGGCUAUAAUGGACAUAUCUUCCUAUUAAUUGCCAACAGCACCCCCAGCUCCCAAAUUCAUUCUUUUGUCUAUGUGUAGAGGUAACAGCCCUUAUCAGAUGUUACAUUUGUUUAAUUGGUGACUGUGUGGCUGUGAUUUAAUCUAAGUUUCCAGGGAGCUAUGGGUUAGAUGCCAAGCUCACUACCUUGAGCAGACAGGGACUGCUGGAGAGGAGGGUGGGGUGAGCUCCCUGAGACCCAACGAGAGCCUGGGAACUGGCUGCCAUUAUUGUGUUGGCUGUCCCAGGGCUCUGGGAGUCUGCCACAGGCUGUCCUGGCAUCUGUGUGGUGUCUGUGUAACUCCCCCACAUGCUGGAAAGGUAGGGCCCCACAUGUCUUGGUGCCAUGCCAGAGCGUGGGCUGCAGCAGGACAGAGGUCGUUUGGCAGAGCUGGCAUUAACUCCCUAGGGAUGCUGGAGAGCCUUAGGAGCACAGGCAGGUGUCCAGAGGCAGAGCAGAAGUCCAGCCAGGCCCAGAUGGGCAGGCAGGACGUAAAGGUCAGAUGAGCAGGUGUGGAGAAUCAGAGAAGGCAGGAAAGGUCUGAGGGUUCGUUCUUGACAGUUAAAGCAAAUUGAAGGACCAAAGUCGGUGAGGACAGCAGGGUACAAUGGUGAAUGCACCCAGCAAGGAGAAGAGACCUGAGUGCUCUUGCAGUGCAGCCCUGACUCCAGGAUGUGAUCCGGGAGCCUGCACUUUCCUUUGCUCUCCAGCCUCAAUCUCAAUUUGUCAAAUCAGAGGGCUGGCCUAGAGACUCUAUAAAGUCCCUUUUGACAAUGGUAUCUUAGGGGCUUGAGGGUCCAUGAAUCAUCCUUUCAGUCCUGGAGGAGGCCCUAGAGCUCUAGAGUCACCAAUUGUUUGUCACUAAAGGGAGGGACCUAGGAAUUCCAGUGUUUUCCAGCAUUUCAAAAAUAACAAAAUCAUAUCUAUACCUACAAAAGGACCACAACAGAUGAUCACUUAAACUACAGUUUGAUAGCAGAGUUUGGGAGGAAAUAUAAUAAAGAGAUAUUCUUUAUGGUACAAAGUUUGAGGAACUGAUCAAAUUUAACCAUCUCAUUUUAUAUAUGAAGAAAAUGAGAUCCAGAGAGGAAAACUCAUUUGCCCAAGGACACCUAGGAAGUUAACAGAACAAGAAUCAGAAGAUUCCAGUUUUCUAACAACCCAGUUCCGAGCUUUUACUGCCCCAACCUCGUCUCCCCUCCCUGGCUUAUGUGCCAGUAUCGCUUGUAGAGAACAGGACCUGAGCUGUUGAAAAAUGUUCUAGCCUUCCUUUCUCUGAUAAAUAGAUUUCAUCUAGCAGCUUUCCCUUCUAGCCAUGCCAGAUACCAGUGGCUUCGAGUGUGAACUAAUCCAGUAGCCCUAGAGAGAUGUGUUUCCUCUGCUGCUGAUGCACUGGGGAUGGGAGUGUAGGUGUGUAUGUGACUGGAUUGAGCAGGAAAGUCCUGUAUUUCCUGUGGAAAGGGCAUAGUUUCUACAGAGCCUGAAAGGCAGCUACUUGCAGGAAUAAGGAGAGUUAUGGAUUGGAAAUGAAGGGGCCUUGCUGUGAACCUGGCUCAACUACUGUGUGACUUUGGGCAAGUGACCUCUCUGGGCCUCAGCUUCUUCAUUUAUAAGAUGGAGCGGGGUGGGGGAGCCCAGGUGUGCACUAAGAAAGCCUUUCAACCCUGACACUGUAAGUAUGUGUACUUUGCCCCUUCCCCAUGGAGCUAUUCCAGUUUCUCAUAUGUAGGCAAAGGGUCCAGUAAGUUCAGUCCCUCGUUAGGUAGUAAGUCCCAGAAAGACUGGGCCUGUCUAUCCCACAUACCAUGACCAUUCUAAUCUUCCUGAAGAACAGCUUCAUUUUAUGAUGCCUCCUGCUCAAAUUCUUGGUGAUUCCAUACUGCUUACUGGAAAAAUCCAUCAUUCCUUUGCCUGACGUUUGAACUUCCAAGACUUGGCCCAUGUCACCUAUCCAGCUUCAUGCCUUGCGAUCACUCAGAGAUGCAGGUGUGGAAAGUCAGAGACCCAAUUUUUGAUCCCAGCUUCACCUUGCAGUUCUGUGACUAUAGGCAAGUUUUGUAUCCUCUCUGGGCCCCAUAUGUAAAAUGAAUAUGAUAAAAUACUAGUUCAUCAAUUUGAUUUGAAACAUCAUUACAAUUGAGAAAGGUAAUUGAAUUUUAGCUCACUCUCUUUCCCUUCCCCAACUAAUGCGUAUCAUAUCCUUGGAAAUAGGAAUUGUACACUUCUUUUAUAUCCUCACAAUGCUUAGCAUAAAGUCCUCCACAGAGCAAAUGCUCAAUAAAUAUUUGAUGAGUUGAUGUUUCAUCUGUUUCAGAAGUUAUCUAAGAUAAGCUGUAACAUUUGCUUUUCUUUUGCAGUUUGCCCAGCUGGUCGCUAUCUAUAAGACACUGGGAGGAGAAAAGUUCCCUCUCAUUGAACAGACAUACUACCCCAACCACAAAGAGAUGGUAAGUGGCUCAGUGGGGACAUUAGUCUUUCUGCUGUUUUCAUUUUGCACUUAGCCACCUGGUUAUUGUGGGGCUCUGAAAAGGGCCUCAGCAUCUCAACCCCAAAGACUCCACUGGGGUUGAACUAUAGAGCUUAUGCGGCUGGAAUAACUAGAUUUUAGCUGACAGCCUCUUGUCAAAUUCUGGAGAUAGAAUAGGGAAAAACAGGAGUAAGGGCAGUUUAAUCAAGCUGAGAGAAUAACAAACUUCUGGACCAACAAUCAGAUCUCACUGCUUUUGAGUCCCAGCCCUGGCUCUGCCACUUGUCAUUGAACAAGCUGCAUUUCCUCACUGUGUGCAGUUUCCAAUAAGACGGUCAAGUGGGCAUAUUUAUCCCUGCACAGGAUAUUCUAAUAUGGUACAGACACAAUUUAAGUGAGAUUCAUUAAGUAAUAGCUUCUGGGAAAGUGUGAAGCAUCUACUAGAUGUAAGGCAUUGCUCCUACUAUUAUUAAUCCCCUGACUCUCCCAUUCCCCUGGCGCUUCCACAACUGUGAUAAGGCUGGGUUAACACUGUGCCUUCUCUGAGGCCAUCCUAGUAAGUCAGAAGGAGCAGAGAGAUGGGACGGUUGGUUGGUAAGGAGGCUAUUGCCAAUGUUUUUCCCGUGCAGGGACCUGGAGCUCAAACUCCCUUCUUCUUCCCUGUCCCCACACCCUCUGCCCCAGGCUGGUGUGAUCAAUUGGUGAUCGUGCUUAACCCACCAAUGGAGACUCCCUGCGAAGCAUUCCAAGUGGAACAGAGAUUAUGUUUGUGCCCGCCUCCCCACUUCCUUGGCCAAAAGGGGUCUCCAUUUACACCAUUUCUGCAAAUCAAGAGCCUUCUGACACAUUGUGCAUGGCCCUGCUCACCAGCAGACCACAUAUCAAAAAACAACCUUGGGCAUUGAAAAGAACCAUCUCUGUCAUCUUUGCCAGAGCUUCCCCAGGGAGAAGCUCUGAAACUCUAAGCUCUUGUCCUUAAUAAAUCCUAGAGGCCAAUAUCAGGACUUUUCCUUUCAGGGCAAGCCAGGAAGCCUUGCAGAGGCUGAGGAGCCCUGAGGGUCCUUUGGUUGGGGAAUCUCAGGGAGCCCAAGGCACAAUGGUGAGAGUACUCAGCUGAAGGGUACAGGGGGCUCUCUGGGGAUCAAAACUGGCUUUUUCCUGCUGUAGCAUCUAGCAGGGCUGGCUGCUGGAAAAAAACUGCCUUAAUUGCCAGGUAUAUUCCCUACCUACCGUGCUUUUCCCUCAAGGGCCUUUGUGUUAUUUCUCUCCGGUGCUCUAUCCUGAAAUUUGCCCUCAAGAGAGGACCACCUCUCUGUGGUGUAAAAAGCCAACAAAGGGGGAUUUCAGCUCUGUAAGAAAAAGGCUUUGUGGCUUUUAAAAAGUUCUGAAAUAGGAAUGAAGAUGUUAGUAAUUUAAAAGAGACAGAAGAGAAGCCUUAUGGACAUCAGUUGAGGGCAUUAAGGAUAGUUAACUUGGAGAGGUAGUACCUAUUCUGAGACAGUAAGUGCAUUCUUAUUCAAAGAGGUGUGCUAACCAGGUGGGACCCUCUGCCAGAAAUGGUAUAGAGGGGAUAACAGCAUUGGAAGGCAGGUUAGUCCAUUCUGGCUCUCACAUUGAGUGAUUCUGUGUCUCCCAAAUGACUCCCCCAAACAGAUGAAAGUGUAUCAGAGGAUUAGGAUGAGUUGAGACAGGGGAAGUAGAGGAUACA